rnacentral:rRNA from 1 species
CGGCGUGCCUUACACAUGCAAGUCGAGCGAGGCGGCCCGCAAGGGUCAGUCGAGCGGCGAACGGGUGAGUAACGCGUGGAUAACCUGCCCUGAGAUGGGGAAUAACCCGGGGAAACUCGGGCUAAUACCGCAUAUGACCGAGAGGUCAAAGGCGGCUCGCAAGAGCUGUCGUCUGAGGAGGGGUCCGCGUCCGAUUAGCUAGUUGGUAGGGUAAUGGCCUACCAAGGCGACGAUCGGUAGCCGGCCUGAGAGGGUGAUCGGCCACACUGGAACUGAGACACGGACCAGACUCCUACGGGGGCAGCAGUGGGGAAUAUUGGGCAAUGGGCGAAAGCCUGACCCAGCGACGCCGCGUGGGUGAUGAAGGCCUUCGGGUCGUAAAGCCCUGUCAGGAGGAAAGAACGAUCUUGUGGUGAAUACCCACAAGAUGUGACGGUACCUCCGAAGGAAGCACCGGCCAAUUCCGUGCCAGCAGCCGCGGUAAGACGGAAGGUGCAAGCGUUGCUCGGAAUCACUGGGCGUAAAGGGUGCGUAGGCGGCUUCUUAAGUCUGGUGUGAAAGCCCAGGGCUCAGCUCUGGAAGUGCACUAGAUACUGGGAAGCUUGAGUACCGGAGGGGAGAGUGGAAUUCCUGGUGUAGCGGUGAAAUGCGUAGAUAUCAGGAGGAAUACCGGUGGCGAAAGCGACUCUCUGGACGGUUACUGACGCUGAGGCACGAAAGC